CACGUCUUGAGCUGCAACCUGCUAGGCUGUGCUGCUCCACCCAUGGUCCCAAAGGCACAUGCAAAUGUCCAGAUACCCAGGACCCCUCACAUUGAAGGGAUUCUAUUUGUUCUAGAGAAAAUGUUAUGCCAAUUGAGCACUAGCUGCCACUGGCAAUGUAUUACCCUGGGUCACAAUUAAGUUCACAAGAGAAGAUAAUCA